rnacentral:rRNA from 1 species
UGUGUAGGCGGUUCCCUAAGUUUGGUGUGAAAUCUCCCGGCUCAACUGGGAGGGUGCGCCGAAAACUGGGGGGCUAGAGUACUGGAUGGGAGAGUGGAAUUCCUGGUGUAGCGGUGAAAUGCGUAGAUAUCAGGAGGAACACCUGUGGUGUAGACGGCUCUCUGGACAGUAACUGACGCUGAGACACGAAAGCGUGGGUAGCAAACA